rnacentral:rRNA from 1 species
AUUGAACGCUGGCGGCAGGCCUAACACAUGCAAGUCGAGCGGAUGACGGGAGCUUGCUCCUUGAUUCAGCGGCGGACGGGUGAGUAAUGCCUAGGAAUCUGCCUGGUAGUGGGGGACAACGUUUCGAAAGGAACGCUAAUACCGCAUACGUCCUACGGGAGAAAGCAGGGGACCUUCGGGCCUUGCGCUAUCAGAUGAGCCUAGGUCGGAUUAGCUAGUUGGUGGGGUAAUGGCUCACCAAGGCGACGAUCCGUAACUGGUCUGAGAGGAUGAUCAGUCACACUGGAACUGAGACACGGUCCAGACUCCUACGGGAGGCAGCAGUGGGGAAUAUUGGACAAUGGGCGAAAGCCUGAUCCAGCCAUGCCGCGUGUGUGAAGAAGGUCUUCGGAUUGUAAAGCACUUUAAGUUGGGAGGAAGGGCAGUAAGCUAAUACCUUGCUGUUUUGACGUUACCGACAGAAUAAGCACUGGCUAACUCUGUGCCAGCAGCCGCGGUAAUACAGAGGGUGCAAGCGUUAAUCGGAAUUACUGGGCGUAAAGCGCGCGUAGGUGGUUUGUUAAGUUGGAUGUGAAAGCCCCGGGCUCAACCUGGGAACUGCAUCCAAAACUGGCAAGCUAGAGUACGGUAGAGGGUGGUGGAAUUUCCUGUGUAGCGGUGAAAUGCGUAGAUAUAGGAAGGAACACCAGUGGCGAAGGCGACCACCUGGACUGAUACUGACACUGAGGUGCGAAAGCGUGGGGAGCAAA